CGGAUAUAAAGUGAAAGUUAUAUCAGCGGUGAUCGGCUGUUUAGGAGAAGGGAUGAAAAGACUGAAAGAUGAUAUAAGAGAGUUGUUUAACAACGAGAAAGAUUUACACUGGAUAAGUAGAGAAAUGCAAAAGACUGUAUUAUGGGAAAGCGAGACAAUUAUGAGAAAAAUAUUAUCUGGACUGUUGACAUGAGGUGUCUUCGGACAAUAGC